AAUGCUCUUAAACUCAUCUGCUGUGUGAUCCCUCUAAAAAAUCGCCCCACCAGUCAUCACCUUGUAACGUGCGAGGCUGCAUUCACUCCCCUACUUUCGGCGUUUCUCCCUCUCCGCUUGCGCAAUGUAUCAAUGAAGAACCGUAAAGUGUUAAAUGUUUGAAAUACAAAACCGCCGAAUUCCACAUGCUGAAAGAGGACUCCGCUACUCGUGCGCGCGGCACUGGUGUGUCUGUGCAAUAGACUCUGCACAGAAAAACUACUCUCACACGCCUGCAAGUCCGCGGCUGCAGAAAGGACGCUGAAACCCUCAUUUUUCAGUUUCAAGACAAACGCUUAAAAAUCAAACUGGCUCACGUUCUUUCCAACCAACCCAGUUUGACAGCUGCUCUUCACCCCACUUGGAGGACUGUCAGCAGCAAGAGGAUGGCAUCAGAGCUGGCAAUGAGCAACUCCGACCUGCCCACCAGUCCCCUGGCCAUGGAAUAUGUUAAUGACUUCGAUCUGAUGAAGUUUGAAGUGAAAAAGGAGCCGGUGGAGCCCGAUCGCAACAUCAGCCAGUGCAGUCGCCUUAUCGCCGGGGGAUCCUUGUCUUCCACCCCGAUGAGCACGCCGUGCAGCUCGGUGCCCCCUUCCCCAAGCUUCUCGGCGCCCAGUCCGGGCUCGGGGAGCGAGCAGAAGACACACAUAGAGGAUUUCUACUGGAUGUCCGGUUAUCAACAGCAGUUGAAUCCAGAGGCGCUGGGCUUCAGCCCCGAAGACGCAGUCGAGGCGCUGAUCAACAGCACUCACCAGCUCCAGUCGUUCGAUGGCUAUGCCAGGGGCCAGCAGUUUGCUGGCGCAGCCGGAGCAGGGGGCACCAUGGCCGGGGAAGAGAUGGGGUCCGCAGCGGCGGUGGUGUCGGCAGUUAUCGCUGCUGCAGCCGCUCAGAACGGAGGGCAACACCACCACCACCACCAUCACCACCACAGCAACAGCCACCACCAAGCACCUGGCGUCCAGUCCAACGGCACUUCUGGGACAAUUCACCCUCACAUGCGCUUGGAUGACCGUUUUUCAGACGACCAGCUGGUCAGCAUGUCAGUGCGGGAGCUCAACCGGCAGCUACGGGGGGUCAGCAAGGAAGAAGUGAUCAGAUUGAAACAGAAGAGGAGGACCCUAAAGAACAGAGGCUACGCGCAGUCCUGCCGGUUCAAGCGGGUCCAGCAGCGGCACGUCCUAGAGGGAGAGAAGACGCAACUCGUCCAGCAAGUCGAUCACCUAAAGCAGGAGAUCUCCAGGCUGGUCCGGGAGAGGGACGCGUACAAAGAAAAGUAUGAGAAGCUCAUCAGCAACGGCUUCAGAGAAAAUGGAUCCAGCAGUGACAACAACCCUUCAUCCCCGGAGUUUUUCAUGUCAUCCAGAAAAUUCCUCCAUCUGUGAUUUCAAGCCCCAAUGGUCCGUGCCCUUGGCUCGCUGAGGCAGGCACACCUCAGGGGUUCGCCAUGCAAAGACACACUGGAGUUCAGAGCCGUGCAGGGAGUUGAAGGACCCAGAAUAUGCUGACAAAGAUAAAACACCAGAUAACCCAAUGACUGAGCAGUGAUGACAUCAGACCGGCUGACCAAUUGCACGAAGACACCUACAAAGCACAACGUUCAAAAAUAACUUCACUGAAGAACAAAAGACAAGACCCGCUGAAAUUCCUACAGUGAAAUUCUUGAAAGCCUCUUACUACUCCUGAUUCUCUCCCUAAUAUUUUACCUCCAGCUUUUUUCUACAAAACACGAAAGAAAAAAAAAGACUCAUACUCCUGAGAUGGUUGACAAUGUCAGAUAGAUACACUGGAAGGACUAUUUUCUCUUCGGUGGGAAGAUCAUUAAUGCAUGCCUCUGUAAAUAGAUCAUAAUAAAACCCUAUUCUUAUUCCUAAUAUAGGAAACAUAACAAGUCAUUCUCAUCAACACCAUAAACCUUCAUGUCUGUGGAUUGAGUACUCAUGGUUCAAUAUUUUCAAUAUAAAAUAAGUAUUCUUCUUAUCUCCUCAGAGACCAUGUACUUAUCAUUUCCAAUAUCAUUUCUCUACUCUUUGGAGUUAUUUGGACUGUAAAAAGUGUACUUCGUAUUCUUCUUAUUCUCUUUACAGAACAGCCUAGUCUUCCUCUCCAAUAUCCACACUAGAACAUGUAAAUAGAGAUGAAUGAGGACAACAGCAUGGAACAGACUUUAGUGUAUAUUUACCACUCCCCUAGUAGAUCACAAAUCGCAAUAUGUGGAUAGUUCAGUUAACCAUUUUAAAAGUUUAAAAUACUUGAACUUGUUUUCUUAUAGUUAAGACAUAGUCCUAGGUAACUGGACUUUUCCUAUGUAUUUAAAUAGAUGCAUAAAGACAUUAGCUAUACGUAAUGAUAUUAUUUGACUACCUUAGGGCCUUAGGGUAGUCAAGGCAGCAAUCCAUUUGGUAUCAUCAAUCAGUUCCAUCAGUUAACAAAUGUCAAAAUGAGAGGAAAAGACAAUUCACUAAAGCCAGUCCCAGUCUACCUUGGUACUACUAAAUGUUAUUUUUUAACUUUUUGUAUUGUUUUAUAUUGUUAUUUACACUUUAUGCCCCAGUACCCUACCUAUUUAAUCUUUCCCAUGGCAAUAAUAGCCCUCUCCUUCCACAUGUGUGGGUUGUAACUGCUGUGGCGAAGCUGCUGUUAACCUGUGAGGGCCAUUUUUUUCUUUGCAUUGUUUGAUACGGUGCUCUGAUCCUGAGCCUACAAAUGGGAGAAAAGAACACUUUAUUGAUUGCAAUGUAGACACGAGGACUCUGACCUCCGUCUUCCAUGGACUACGAAGAUAACCAAAUGGACUGACAGAUAAUAUGCCAAGCCAACGAAGAGACAACCUCACAGGUUACCCCGUCACUGGAGAAGACAGAAAACCUUUGCAUGGACAACAGGGAAAAUACUAGUUUGUUGAACACCUCAUCUCCACUUCUGCAUCCUCUACCUCUCACUGUGUGCUGUGCAUCUACAUUAGGAAACCAUGACUUAUCUGGGACUCUUCUACUAUCUCAACAGCCCAUGUCAAUACUGCAUGUUCCCAGAGCCUCAUGAGAAAAGUGUCCAUUCUUAUGGAUGCACAUUGCGAUGGGGAAAAAAAACAAACACUGGUUCACUUUGACACCAACGCACCCUCACAUUGGAGCGCAUCAUUAAACAGCGCUCAAAUAUGUUGCUGUAUAUAUGUACAGUGUAUCCCUUAUAAAUAGUCUCAGAUGCUGUACUUUGCAUGUUGACUUGUAGAUGGUACGUGACCAUUACUCAUAAAAGAGGUUGCGCAGGUAGGCCUAGUCACUCUUUUUUGAGAUUGACUCUCUAAGCCAAUGCAAGCUCUUUGUCAGCUUUGCAUCUACUUAUUUUUGGUAACAAACACAAACCACAAAAUAAACUGUUUCACAGCCCCCGUUUCUAUUGUGAAAGGUCCUCUUCAGCCAAACAGCAGCACUGAUAGAUUCUACACUCUUUGAAGGAACACAUAACCUCGCCUUUGAUGUCAGACAGAACCUGGUCAAAGUGAGCGUGGGUAGGAGAGAGAGGAGAGAAGGCAAACUGGGGCGCUCCAAUUAAGUGGCAGCACACAAAGUGGCAUGGGGCAUCCUUCCAGCAACUGUCUAUUCAUCCUAUGUCAAAGGGAUUUGCACAUCUCAAUGAGUCUACGCACUGCCAGAGAAGUCCGAGAGCAAAGUUGAGAAAGGCAGCAAGGCUGGAGAGAAAGGAUAGGAAAGGAAAAGAGACUAUUUUGACCAAAAUUUACGCUUGUACCGAGCUUAUAUACAAAUAUUCUCCUUGUCUGUCUAUGAACAGAUGGCCUAUAUAAUAUUCUUUUCUGAUCGGCAGCCACCUUGGAGAGUUCAAUAACCCCUUAACCUCAAACUGUUAGACCGUUAUGCAGCUCUCUGGGCUGUCGUGACCUCACGUCCUGUCUGAGGUUAACACUGUGUUAAUGAGCAUGCCCUCAGCUCUACCAGAUGUUCAGCCCUGUGGUUAAAUACCUGUUACCCUUCUAUACCAAUGGUUCUUCAAUGCCUGUCCACAACAGCUGUACUCUUUCACAGAUGCAGCUCCAGUAACAAUUUAACAUGUGAAAGAUCAUGUUAAGUAGGGAGAAAUUAGAUUAGAACUGUGUACAAGAGGUGAGUUUCCCGUUUUACAGAACAUAAUCAAACUGAUCAAAUUCUAGUCUAUGCACUGUAUAUCAAGAAAUUUGUAAUUUAGAAUACAGGUAAUGUAGAUUAAUUAAUUUGUAUGUCCACUUAUGCGGGCAAUUUAAAUGAAGAAAUCUUCUUAAUUAAAAUACUGUCAGGGUACACUGUAUCAGAUGAGGGUAUUUACAGUCAACAUGUAAACAAACUUGAAAUUAGGACUUAUGACAUAGCAGUGAUGACUUAAAGAAGAUUUAUAUUACAGGAAGGAUGAAGAUGUCAGUCAAACAUGAGACGAUGUAUGUGGUAGGAAACAAGACAUUGAGCAAGUGCUUGUCUUCUCUGAGCCUCAAGGCUUUCCACUUUUUUAGAAGUCAAACAAAACUCCAUUCCUGCACAGCUGCAGGCAGUGUGUGACAGGUUGAUUUGUUUUUCUCUGCUUUUGAAUGCAAGUACUACAUUGCCCUGAUAGUCAGGGAGCAUGUCUGUUUUAUCUGGCAAUGACAGUGACCAGGGUCAGCAGCACACAUAUGUAAAUAUGCAGUGAUGUACAUGUUCAUAGACAGAAUGUGUAAAAGUGCACCAAACCCCCCCCCACACACAACACACACACACACACACACACACACAAACACACACACACACACCAUGCUAAUAUAAACAGCAAGGCUGUAUGUAAACAGAUCGUCAACAUAAUGGGAUUGUUCAGUGUGCAAACAAUAAGCUGUUAGCGUAAUCACAGGUCAAAGAUAUAUUACCCAAAAGGCCACGCUGGAGGUAUAUUAACAUGAUGGAUAUGUGGGAGAGAGGAGGGGGGCAGGGAUAUGAAAGAUAUAGAGCGCUACCGACUCAGAUAUACCCCCUAUUGGGCCCUGUCCGCAGCUUCUCUCUCGCUCCUCCACCUCCCUCGUAUGGGCCCCACUUAAUCAGCCUUCCUCAUUCUCUUUUUGCUGCUUCCCCUAUUCACCCACCUCCUUUUUAGACACUAGGUCCUUACCUUUCUUUACCAUUUCCCUGCUCUAAUACCUCAACCCUACCUCAUUCCCUCCUCCCAUUUCUCUUUUUUUCCGGGAUGGAUAUAAUCUGUUUCAGCAAGCGAUCCAUUCAUCUCUGAGGUCAGUGUGGGAGCCGGAUAAAGCAGCUCCACAAUCUUGUUUUUGGAUUAAGCAAAAGAUGGUGUGGGUGAGCAAAAGAGCAUGGAUAAGACAGGAAGACAGUAUGACAGUAUUUUUGUAGCAUCAAGUUAGAGAUAGAGAUAGAUCUACACACCCAUGCCCUUUAUCUCUACUUUACCAUGUUAAAAGCACCAUGCUUGUGUGUCUCAAUGAGUAGAAGCACACUAGUGCCAUGUCAGUCAAGAUAAAUCCUGUGUAGCUUACUCCAUUGUACAUUCAUCUUAGUAACUUAUCUCCGCUUUAUUUGAUUACCAUCUAGCCCAUUCUCUCAAAUGGUUAAUAAGUAUAAGUCUCCUGACUAAACACUCCAUUAGUGUCAUCAUUGGCUAGCUUGUGUGUUUGUGCGUGUGUGUGCGUGUGUGUGUGUGUUGCGUACAUUUGUGGACAACUGGGGUAGAUACACAUUGGAGCCAAGUAACAGAGUAAACAUAGAGGCAGAACACUGGGGAGAAAAACAACCUGCAAGACAGACAUUCGGUGCAAAGGUGCCUAUCUGAUGACAGUAACUGGCCCCAUUGACUUUUGGUUCAGAUGUGGUUUAAAGGGCAACUAUUAUAUAGCAUUUCAAUGUCAGCAUGUCAUUCAAGUGACAGCCUUUGAUGUGUUUGAUUGCUAACUUGUAGCCAGCAGUGAGAUAACUAUGGAGGUCCAUAUUUAUUGUACUGACAUUACAGAAGUCUCUUGUUAGCAUCUUGUAAGCUACUCUUACAAAGUGACGCAUGCGCAACUCACAUCUGCACUUGUCGAAAAGAGAUGCAUGCGCAACCCCCAUCUGCCCUUCUCUCACAUCUGGUAGUGACACCCUGUUUCAUAAGGGGGUAAGCCAGCCUUGACAAAGCGUACCUCCUAUGGAGCCAUUUUGGUGCUAUCAAGCCAUUCCCCGCCGAGGCAUUCCAUUGAUUGCCAAUCAUUUUGGCAUCACUUUGGCAGCAAAUAACUUUUAUCUGAACCGUUUAAAGACUUUAUUUGUCCAUUGCUUAUAUCUAAAGAAACACAACAAUUUUAAAAGGCUCAUCACCUUGUACCUCACGUUAUGACCCCGUAGCAGACGUAUUUGUAAAAAUAGGCUAAUGAUUGUAUCAUAACCAUACAACUUGCUGUCGCAAAGUCGACAAAUUACCAUAUUGUCAGGACAAGCUCGCAGGCAGUUUCGACUUACAUUAGCUGUUUUAGUUUAAUUACUACUACUUAUGUUAGAUUGCAUUUUAGUUAGCAAUAAUUAGCCUGUGCCUAUGUUCUCUCCUUACAUAUACCUGCUCUACGUCUCUGCGAGAUUGGGAAUGAUAGAUAUUCUCUUGGCAGAGCUACCAGAAGACUGACUGACAGGUUGCUCAUGUCACAUCUAUGUCUUCAAGCUCAGUUGGAGGCUGCGCAGUUAUGCUCAGCCAUUGUCCAUUUCUCAUACUGUCUAGGGUCUUUCACUAGUUGAAGCAGGAGUUACUGCAAUGGAGUACAUAGCAGGAGUUUGUAAUGUUAAAUAUUACCAAUAAAGGCUUCUAAACCAAAUAUUACACAACCGAACAUGUUCCAGCAGUAAAUUGAUCGGAAUUUGGGGAGAAAUGACCAGCAUUCGAUAAGAUUACAGCUAUGUCGUGUUAGCAUGCAACUGCUUAAUAGUUAGCGGCAUUCUAACUUGAGAUUGUAGUGGAACAAAGCAGCACUUCCUAUCGUCAAAAGAAUAAAGGCAGAUAAGACUUCUGAACCAAACAUUACCCAAUCUGACAUGUCUCAGCAGUAAUGCAACCCGGAAUUGGGGAAAAUUUAACAACAUUGGCAGCCCAGAUGACAUUGUUUAUUGCCGUUAGCCAUGUAGCUACUAUAGUUAGCAGUGGACACUUAAUAGAAUAUAGAAGCAAUUUCUACAAUCAAAAUAAAGGCUUUUAAACCAAAUACUACAUAAACUGAAAAUGUUUCAGGAGUAAUGUGACCCGGAAUUGGGGAGCAUUUAACGACUCUGGCAGCCAAGAUGACAUAUUUUACUGUCGUUAGCAUGUAGUUACAGCAACAAUGUUAACACCGCAGUGGCUUAAAAA